ensembl:ncRNA C45B2.19 ncRNA
AUCAAGUAGAAAACAAUAAUUGAUAUCAGAUUGAUCCGAAUUUGAAACGACAUCGAACUAGUUUUCGCAUUCUCGCUACAUUUCAAUGAAUUGAGCGUGUAUGUGUGUAUUAUAUGUGUAUGUGUGCUUGAUGAUAUAGGCGAUGAUAAUAACACAUACAUACGCACAGGAAGGUUUUCCCCCUGUGGCCACACCGGUGGAAAGUGAAACCAUCGCAGCCGAGGAUUGAGAUGACACGGUGAUAGGAUCUCCUCAUCUUGUCCCCCGCAAUUCGAUUCUUGCCUCGUUGUCCUCAGGUUGAUGAUAUAUGCUUUUAAUUAG